CAAUGGAUUGGGUGCUCCGGCUGCACCGUACGCAGCUCAUCCAUCAGAUACAGAAUACAAGGUUAGGAUGAAACCCGAACGCCCCGCUCUUAGAAUUUUGCCAAAAGGCGCCCCACAUAAGCACAAAAUAGCAGUAAUGCCCCCGUUACUUAGGUGUGCCACAGUUUGGAACAGAAAGAACAAAAAGCAUCAGGGGCCUGGCGGCGGAUCUCGCCGUGGGCUGCGCUGCCACACCGGUGGAACAAGCUCGCUGCAGUACGGACGUACUCUGCUCCGACGUCCAGCGGGAAACUCGCCCCACCUCUGCCCCGCCAUUAUCCACCUCGACGCAACCCCCUCCACAGCCACACACUCCUGCCUAGAUCCGCCAUCUACCGACGCCGGAGAAGAGAACUCCGAGCCUUCAGGUGUGAUAAAAUGGCAUUUUAUUCCUACAGAUCUCACUUUGUGGUGAUAUCAUGCUAUGUGUCCAUGGCAAAAAGGCUAUGCUAAAUUAUGCUGCUGUACUCAAGACCAUUUUCACAAGCACUCCUUUUCUUUUCCUUAGUUCAUCUAAAUGCCAAUGCAUUCCAUAUACAUUAUCAUUCUUCGCUACUUUAGCAUGGGAUUAUUGUUUUCUUAGACUUCGAUGUGCUACAGCUCUCAUGACAAUCUAACUCUUAGUUGUUGCUGGAUGUAAUAUCUAAAAAUUAUUUCUGCACGGAGCAUGGAAGGAUGGAGUCAAUGGCAAGCAUUGCUUCAAGUGUCGGAUCAUCUACAAUGAAUGGGACCUGAAGAUGAUGCCAACAACUUUUCCAUGAGCAAGCAGUAUCCAAAAAGUUUGAAGAUAGAUUAUUCUAUUUACUAAGUUGGCAAUGGUAGCUCAAAUGGUGUGUUUAUAUUUUGAUCCUCUUUGAUUAAAACAUAUUCAGAAUUUGGAAGUCUUCGACUAAAACUUGUUUAUUAGUAGCAUCUAGAUUUACAGCCCAUGGGAGCGGACAUUAGUUGGUGCAGUAUAUGUGUACCUGCUAUACCUGGUUUAUUAGUAACAUCUAGAUUUGAUUGUUGAAGUAUGUGGUUGAUGGUAGAAUUAUGUGUAAUGUCAUGAGCCCGAUUCAGAAAGCAUUCACGACAUAUUAUUGCUGUAAUAUUAACUUCGCAAUGUCAAGAUGGAUUAAAAAGGUGGUGGAAUGCCAAUGAAUGAUUGUUGAUUGA